AUGAUACUUCAGUGUGAAGACAUUGACUCAACCCCAUGAAACAGCUUCUUUAAAGAAAGGUGAUCACAGCUUAGGUGAGUUUGAUGGAAAUUCUCACAACCGAGAUUCUUUCCUUGCAAUGUUUUCCAUCGUUAAUGGAGUUGGAAUUCACGAUUCCCUUUGAGAACAGGAGGGUUGUCCUGGAACGGAGACUUAAAUGCAUGCCAAGGGAGCGUGAGCAAGGAGGGCGAGCAGGCUACCAAGGACGGGUGCAGUUGAAGAGGGUGCAGUGAAAGAGCGUAGUAGAUCAACUCAGUGAACCAGCCAAGGUAGGAUCACCUAAACCCACAUAGGCAAUGGGGGACUUUGUUCCAUUCUGAGUAACACAGAAAGCAAUUGCCGGAGUUUCAGCAGAGAAAUGAUAUGAUCUGUCUUAGGUUCAAAAUACCUGUUGUUCAGAGAAUGGGUUGUAGAAGUUUAAGAGUAGAAAUGGGAAGGCCAUUUAGAAAUGUAUUACAACAACUCAGGAUCCAAGCAAAACAUGAUGGUGCUUUAGACCAAGACAGUAGCAAUACACAUGAAAGCUAUGGAUAGAUUCUGAACAUUUCUUGAAAGUGC
rnacentral:lncRNA from 1 species